rnacentral:lncRNA from 1 species
UGUCACCUCAAUGCCACCCCGUGUCACCCCAAUGACACCCGCAGCCACGGUGCGACUGUCACCCCAUGUCACCCCGUGUCACCCCGUGUCACCCUGUGUCAGCCCAUGUCACCCCGUGUCACCCCAAUGCCACCCGCGGCCAUGGUGCGACUGUCACCCCAUGUCACCCCGUGUCAGCCCAUGUCACCCUGUGUCAGCCCAUGUCACCCCGUGUCACCCUGUGUCAGCCCAUGUCACCCCAUGUCACCCCAAUGACACCCACAGCCAUGGUGCAACUGUCACCCAUGUCACCCGUGUCACCUCGUGUCACCUCGUGUCACCCCGUGUCACCCUGUGUCACCCCAUGUCACCUCAAUGCCACCCCGUGUCACCCCAAUGACACCCGCAGC